AACGAACGCUGGCGGCAUGCCUAACACAUGCAAGUCGAACGAGACCUUCGGGUCUAGUGGCGCACGGGUGCGUAACGCGUCGGAACCUGCCCUUAGGCUCGGAAUAACUCCCCGAAAGGGGUGCUAAUACCGGAUAAUGUCUUCGGACCAAAGAUUUAUCGCCUUUGGAUGGGCCCGCGUUGGAUUAGCUAGUUGGUAGGGUAAGAGCCUACCAAGGCGACGAUCCAUAGCUGGUCUGAGAGGAUGAUCAGCGACACUGGGACUGAGACACGGCCCAGACUCCUACGGGAGGCAGCAGUGGGGGAUAUUGGACAAUGGGCGAAAGCCUGAUCCAGCAAUGCCGCGUGAGUGAUGAAGGCCUUAGGGUUGUAAAGCUCUUUUACCCGGGAUGAUAAUGACAGUACCGGAAGAAUAAGCACCGGCUAACUCCGUG
rnacentral:rRNA from 1 species